AGUGAGAGCGUACGACAGGUGCUGCAUGGCUGUCGUCAGCUCGUGUCGUGAGAUGUUGGGUUAAGUCCCGCAACGAGCGCAACCCUGCAUUCAGUUGCCAUCGGUAAGGCCGGGCACUCUGGAUGGACUGCCGGCGACAAGCCGGAGGAAGUGGGGACGACGUCAAGUCAUCAUGGCCCUUAUGUCCAGGGCGACACACGUGCUACAAUGGCCGGCACAACGGGAAGCGAAGGGGCGACCCUGAGCGGAUCCCACAAAAGCCGGUCUCAGUUCGGAUUGCAGUCUGCAACUCGACUGCAUGAAGUUGGAAUCGCUAGUAAUCGUGGAUCAGCCAAGCCGCGGUGAAUACGUUCCCGGGCCUU
rnacentral:rRNA from 1 species